GAUGAACGCUGGCGGCGUGCCUAAUACAUGCAAGUCGAGCGAACAGGCGAGGCGCUUGCUCCUUUCACGUUAGCGGCGGACGUGUGAGUAACACGUGGAUAAUCUACCUAUAAGACUGGGAUAACCUCGGGAAACCGGCGCUAAUCCCGGAUAAGAUGCUGAACCGCAUGGGUCAAUAGUGAAAGUCGGUGUUGCUGUAACUUAUAGAUGGAUCCGCGCCGCAUGAGCUAGUUGGUAAGGUAACGGCUUACCAAGGGUACGAGGCGUAACCGACCUGAGAGGGUGGUCGGCGACACGGGAGGGGAGACACGGACCAGGCGACUACGGGAGGCAGCAGUAGGGAAUCGUCCGCAGUGGGCGAAAGCAUGGCGGAGCAACGCGGCGUGAGUGAAGAAGGUCUUCGGAUCGUAAAACUCUGUUAUUAGGGAAGAACAAAUGUGUAAGUAGCUAUGCACGUCUUGACGGUACCUAAUCAGAAAGCCACGGCUAACUACGUG
rnacentral:rRNA from 1 species